GACGGGGCCCGCACAAGCGGUGGAGCAUGUGGUUUAAUUCGAAGCAACGCGAAGAACCUUACCAGGUCUUGACAUCCCGAUGCUAUUUCUAGAGAUAGAAAGUUACUUCGGUACAUCGGUGACAGGUGGUGCAUGGUUGUCGUCAGCUCGUGUCGUGAGAUGUUGGGUUAAGUCCCGCAACGAGCGCAACCCUUGUUCUUAGUUGCCAGCAGGUAAAGCUGGGCACUCUAAGGAGACUGCCGGUGACAAACCGGAGGAAGGUGGGGAUGACGUCAAAUCAUCAUGCCCCUUAUGUCCUGGGCUACACACGUGCUACAAUGGUCCGUACAACGGGAAGCGAGAGGGUGACCUUGAGCGGAUCCCUUAAAGCCAAUCUCAGUUCGGAUUGUAGGCUGCAACUCGCCUACAUGAAGUCGGAAUCGCUAGUAAUCGCGGAUCAGCACGCCGCGGUGAAUACGUUCCCGGGCCUU
rnacentral:rRNA from 1 species